CCAAGGCGGCUGCCAAGCCUAAGGGAGGCAAAACCAAGUCGGUCAAGGCGGCGAGCAAGUCUCCGGCCAAGGCUAAGGCCGCGGCUGCUAAGCCAAAGCCGAAGCCGAAAGCCAAGCCUGCUGCUAAGCCUAAGCCAGCUGCCAAGCCUAAGGCGGCUCCUCCGGCGAAGGCUAAGGCUGCUCCGGCUAAGGCCAAGGCUGCUCCGGCCAAGGCCAAGGCUGCUCCGGCUGCCAAGCCUAAGGCAGCGGCUCCCAAGCCGAAGCUCAAGGAGAAGCCAGCUAAGGCUGCAAGGACGUUGACCAGGUCGUCGCCUGGGAGGAAGGCUCCGGCGGCCAGGGCGGCGAAGGCGGCAGCACCGAAGAAGGCUGCGGCACCGAAGA
rnacentral:lncRNA from 1 species